rnacentral:rRNA from 1 species
AUUGAACGCUGGCGGCAGGCCUAACACAUGCAAGUCGAGCGAGCGGCGGACGGGUGAGUAAUGUAUGGGGAUCUGCCCGAUAGAGGGGGAUAACUACUGGAAACGGUGGCUAAUACCGCAUACCAUCAGAUGUGCCCAGAUGGGAUUAGCUAGUAGGUGGGGUAAUGGCUCACCUAGGCGACGAUCCCUAGCUGGUCUGAGAGGAUGACCAGCCACACUGGAACUGAGACACGGUCCAGACUCCUACGGGAGGCAGCAGUGGGGAAUAUUGCACAAUGGGCGCAAGCCUGAUGCAGCCAUGCCGCGUGUGUGAAGAAGGCCUUCGGGUUGUAAAGCACUUUCAGCGAGGAGGCGUUACUCGCAGAAGAAGCACCGGCUAACUCCGUGCCAGCAGCCGCGGUAAUAC